UACGUAGGGUGCGAGCGUUAAUCGGAAUUACUGGGCGUAAAGCGUGCGCAGGCGGCGCGUUAAGACAGGUGUGAAAGCCCCGAGCUUAACUUGGGAAUUGCGCUCGAAACUACGGAGCUGGAGUGUGGCAGAGGAAGGUGGAAUUCCACGUGUAGCGGUGAAAUGCGUAGAGAUGUGGAGGAACACCGAUGGCGAAGGCAGCCUUCUGGGCCAACACUGACGCUCAUGCACGAAAGCGUGGGGAGCAAACAGG
rnacentral:rRNA from 1 species